rnacentral:rRNA from 1 species
CUAUACAUGACUCUGCGCAUAUCAAUAAGCGGAGGAAAAGAAACUAACAAGGAUUCCCCUAGUAACGGCGAGUGAAGCGGGAAGAGCUCAAAUUUGAAAUCUUAAAGGGUUUCCCUUUACGAAUUGUAGUUUAAAGAAGUGUUUUCUGUUGAGGUUUUGGUAAAAGUUCUUUGGAAUAGGACAUCAUAGAGGGUGAGAAUCCCGUAUUUGACCUUUACUUUCAACUUUGUGAUACACUUUCAAAGAGUCGGAUUGUUUGGGAAUGCAGUCCAAAAUGGGUGGUAAAUUUCAUCUAAAGCUAAAUAUUGGCGAGAGACCGAUAGCGAACAAGUACCGUGAGGGAAAGAUGAAAAGAACUUUGAAAAGAGAGUUAAACAGUACGUGAAAUUGUCAAAAGGGAAGCGUUUGACACCAGUGUUGUUUUUCUGAAAAUCAAUUAAAGAACUGUUUAUGCUAAGUUGUUUAGACUUUAUCAGCUAACUGUUUAGUUUUGAGCUUUUCUUUAAUGCACUUUUCAGUUAACAAGUCAACAUCAAUUUCUUUUGCUGUAAAAAAGCUUGAGGAAGGUGGCUUGAGAUUCGUCUUAAGUGUUCUAUAGCCUCUUGCCUAUGCAGUCGGAGAGAUUGAGGUCUGCAGCGUAGAUCCUUCGGGGCUAAAUGCAUUUGUGCUAAGUUAUAGCAUUUUAUAGACAACUUGUUGACUAUGAUUUGUCUUGUAGCUUACUCGCUUAUGUUAUUUUACCUACGCUUAGGAUGUUGACAGCAGUAUAGACUGU